GGAGCAACAACAACAGCUAUUACUGUGGAUAUGAACAACUCCGUUUGAGCUGCAGUGGUGAAACAACGAUGUUCAAUAUCUCGACGGACAAUUACAUCGUAAAGGCCAUCGAUUACACCGCCCGAACACUGUCUCUUAUCGACGCUGAUGUGUUGGGUCAAAAUUGUCCCAGAGUGAACAAUGCCUUGAACAUAAGCUCAUCAGAAAAUAUUCUGGAUACCACUUCUUCCGAUGUGCAGUUGGAAUUCUUCUUCAACUGCACACGACAGGAGGAAUUAACGCCCUACGCAGUUGUUUGCCUCUCUACCGGAGAGACGUCGUCAUACGUCUUACCUGUUAACAAUGUCACGAGCAUCAAACCGUCGGAUUUGAACUGUGAAGGAAAUGUGAAGUCGACGGUGCUGAGGGAGGAGUGGAAUGGUAUCAACGGGGACAUAACUAAAUUUGGUAGUGUGUUACAGGAGG
rnacentral:lncRNA from 1 species